rnacentral:rRNA from 1 species
UACGGAGGGUGCAAGCGUUAUCCGGAAUCACUGGGCGUAAAGCGUGCGUAGGUGGUAAUUUGCGUGCAGUGCGAAAUUGUGUGGCUCAACCAUACAACGGUACUGCAUACGGGAUUACUAGAGGACAUGAGAGGCAAGUGGAAUUACUGGUGUAGCAGUGAAAUGCGUAGAUAUCAGUAGGAACACCAAUGGCGAAGGCAGCUUGCUGGCAUGUAUCUGACGCUAAGGCACGAAAGCGUGGGGGAGCGAACAGG